GCCUGGCCCAAGCUGGCAUACUAAGAGUUUUCCUGGAACUUGGGAACUGGGACAAAGAGGGACUAAGCCAGCAAGACCGAAAAGCAUGGCAGUCCCAGGACAGCCAUGAAAACCAUAUGUGAAUUAAUGAGUGAGCAGAUUGGAGCAGCAUUGUUUUGGACCCUAAGGACGUCACGUACAAAAUGCACUUAAAUCCUUGCCUCCUGGAGCUGAUGAUAAAGAAGAUGGACAAGUAAAACAUAUGGAAUGUGAAAUGGUGAUAAGAGUGAUGGAGAAAAUAAAACAGGAGAGGAGGUUGGAAUUGCCAGGCUUCAGAUUCAGCUUCUGUUUCCUGAGUGCCUCCACUAUACCAGCCAUUGGGCCAGGCAUCCAGAAGCCCUAAGGUAGACCUCAUCAUCCCUGUUCUACAGGAGAGGAAAACCAAGACUUGGCUACUACAGUAUACAAAGGGUGUGGAAAAGUCCUCCUAGAACCCUUACCCUGCUUCCAGGAGGAGCUGGACAGUUCUUUCCAAGUCCAGGCAGAAAGAAGUCUCCUCUUUUUCCAUUCUCUUUGUUACUUUAUAUGUCUGUGCAGGCUUGGUUGAGGAAGAAGGGGGGCCAGAAGGAAGUCUGGCCAGAUGGCAGGGUAAUAAAUGACUCUGAC
rnacentral:lncRNA from 1 species